UGGGGAAUAUUGGACAAUGGGCGAAAGCCUGAUCCAGCCAUGCCGCGUGAGUGAUGAAGGCUUUAGGGUUGUAAAGCUCUUUCAGUAGGGAAGAUAAUGACGGUACCUACAGAAGAAGCCCCGGCUAACUUCGUGCCAGCAGCCGCGGUAAU
rnacentral:rRNA from 1 species